GAACAAAUUUUAAAAUAGCUAAAGCAAAGCCACUGAUCACCUAAUUGGAUUGUUACUGCCUUAGUAAAGCUUGCUGAUCUUUAAUAUGGAGUAGCUGUAAAUAUUAACACCCACAGCUUUGUAAAUGCAAAUAAAGUUAUGGGAAGUUUAACAUUUGGAAAGGAAGUAGUAAACAGGCAUGUGCAGGAGCCUGGGUGUGUCAGGGGUAGAGGCCACUGCAGGCCAGCUAUCUUGGGUGGCACAUUUGGAGCACAAACUAUCAAACGCAGCACUGUACCAGCUUGUGCACUGUUCUUUGUGCUGGUGCCCCCACCUAUCAGCCAAAGAGCAGGAGCUCCUAAAGUCACAGCUCCCAGCAUUACUUCCAAGACAUGAACUCACUUACCUAAAGGAGCUUUGGGUCUGCUUGCCCCCAAACUUUGUGCUGCAUCCAAAGACCUAA
rnacentral:lncRNA from 1 species